GAAGACGGAGUUGAGCUCGCCAGAAAAGCAAGAAAUUUGUUACAGAGUAAUAGGAACUGCAGAUGCUGGAGAAUCUGAGACAGCAAGAUGUAGAGCUGGAUGAACACAGCAGGCCAAGCAGCAUCAAAGGAGCAGGAAAGCUGACGUUUCUGGCCUAGACUCUUCUUCGGGAAAAAAAUGGAACUGUUUGAAACUGUUCUCCUUACAGUUGAGGCAGUUUCAGUGAUGUCCAGGGUGUCAGAGUGGACCCAGGCCUCAGCACGAACGCAGACCCCAGCCUCAAUGUGGACUCAAACUCCCAGCACUCCCAGCCUCAAGUUUUGAUUGUUGAGUGAAAUGCGAAAAAGGCUGUUCUACAUGCAAGGUUUGUGGAACGGACUCCUUAACGACUAUACAGUUUGGUCCCAGCUGGCUGAACAUCUUGUGGGUAUGAGCAUGAUAGCAGGAGCUAUCAGACGUCGGGAAAGGAAGGUGCC